UAUUUUUUCUUUAUUUUUUGCCAGCCCAAUAAAUAAAUACUGGAUUAUUAAUUUAUUUUGUUUCAUUAAACAAAUUUCCCAUUAAAAUCUAUUCUUGACUGGAAUACGAAUGCAAGAAACUCCUCCAACUAAGAGAUUGGUAUUACAAAUUAAAAAAGGAAAUUCUUUAAUUUUUAUAACUACUUUUAUAAAUAAAACGAUUUUUUUGUUUUAGAUAGUAGAUAAUAAAACAGCUUCGAUGGGGGUUCCUCUUCAUGAAAAAUUCAACAAUCCCACAAAUAAAACUAAACUUGGAAUGGAUUUUGCAAAUACAUACCAAUUUAAAGUCUAAUUUACUCGAUGAUUAUACUCGACCCGAGUCUCAUUAACGAGAUGGACAAACAUUGGGGAUUUGACUGCAAAAGGCCACAUAAGCAUCGUAUUAUCCGGGAAAUUCGGUCCUCAUCAUAUUGAUUUUGCGAAAAUGGGGUUGGUGUAGUUGUUAAUAUCGACGUUGCUGUAGGUGUUUAAUUAUGCAGCAGUUUGACAAUGUUUACUGGAAUAACAGCGUAAUCAGAUAUUUUUGUUAUAAAUUGAAAUUUGUAUUUAGUUCAAAAAUUAAUAAUAUUUCUAUUAAAAACUCUUUUAGGAUUUUUUUUUAAUUUUUAGGUCAUAAAUACCUUCAUCUUUGUGAAUAUGGUAAGAAUAUUAAAUUUGAUUAUUACUAUAAUUUAAUUUUUGUGACAAUUGCAUUUAUACAUUUUUAUUUUAUGAACGUUUUAGGAUGAAUCAACUGCUUUAAAUUGGAAUUUGGAUUUCUAUAUGAAAAAUUGAGGAUUUCAUUGACAGAUGGCGCCGAGUAAUUUAUAAUUAAUUACGCCACUUUUGUAACCACCCAUCAGAUGCUUUAAAGGUACUCACUCCCAAUUUUUCUGCAAUUACUUUUGGAUUUUUUUUUAUUUUUUUUUAGAAAUGGUUCUGAUUGGGCAACAUUUUGAUUUCUAGUUUUCAGAAACAAUUCGAAACAGAAUUUGUCGAUUUUUGAACCCUCACCACUCAAAAAGUCAUUCUUCGCUUUCAGUUCUUCGUCAAUUUCUUGAAAAAUCAUUUCUUAGAGUCCAUGUUCACUAUAAAUAAAUAGUUUGAGAGCCCAAAAGCAUAUUUUGAAAGGGAAUUUUACUCAAUGAAACUUAUUUUUUCGCAAAAUUUAAUAAUUUUAGCAAGAAACGUAAUCGUAGGGUUUAAACGUCAAAACUGACUUAAUAUGGAUGGUUGUCGCUAGAUGGGGUGAGCAACUAUUUAGAAGAGAAGGAUUUUUUUAAGGUCUAGUGUCUGCUGGCGAUGAUCAAAUUAGAGAAUUAAAAAAGAACCAAGAUGCUCUCAAAACCAUGAAAUGCUUUUAACAACAUAUGGUGGUCCGCAGUCUGCAAAAACAUAAAAAAGAUGAAUAAAACAAAAUUAGUUACUUUAUUAAUUGAUUUCAGAUCGUAACAAUAUGUCUUAAAUAAAGCUUUAUUUAGUUAC